UUUCAUAAAUUUUAAGAAUUCUCAAAUCGCAUUCACUCUCUCUCUCUCAACAACUCUCCAGCCACGAGGAAAACAAUGAAUGGCAAGAGCUGGUCUAUGGUGGGCGCUCUGGACUACAAGGGCUUCCCUGCAGAUCGGUCAAAAACAGGUGGUUGGGUACCAGCUGCUUUCAUAUUAGGAAUCGAACUGGUUGAAAGGCUUUCGACAUUGGGGAUAGGGGUGAACUUGGUGACCUACCUAGUGGGCACAAUGCAUUUGCCCAGUGCCACCUCUGCAAACAUAGUCACAGAUUUCAUGGGCACGUGCUUCCUCUUGUGCCUUCUGGGUGGCUUCAUUGCUGAUUCUUUCUUAGGAAGAUACUUAACCAUUCUCAUCUUCUCAGCACUUCAAGCUCUGGGAACUGGCAUGUUAGCGAUUGUUUCAAGAAUCCCACAGCUGCACCCACCUCCAUGCGGCCAUGGAAACCAUCACUGCGAGCAGGCAAACGGGCUACAAAUGGGAGUUCUAUACAUAUCUCUAUAUCUCAUUGCUCUUGGGACCGGAGGCCUAAAAUCGAGUGUGUCGGGCUUUGGCACUGACCAAUUCGAUGAGAAGGAUGAGAAAGAAAGGACCCAAAUGGCACAUUUCUUCAGCAGGUUCUUCUUCUGCAUCAGUCUCGGCUCCCUACUUGCUGUUACUGUACUUGUAUACAUUCAAGAUGCGGUCGGUCGAAGCUGGGCCUACGCCAUUUGCUCUCUCUCUAUGAUAGUGGCCAUUGCCAUCUUCUUGUUUGGAACUCCAAGAUACAGGUUCAAGAAGAGUGCAGGUAGUCCAAUUGUUCACAUUUUGCAAGUUAUAAUGGCGGCCAUGCGCAAGCGCAAGCGCAACCUUCAAUUGCCUCAGGAAAGCAGCCUCUUGUAUGAGGACUGUAAUGGAGCACCAAGGAUCCCUCACACCAAGCAAUUCCGCUUCCUCGACCAUGCUGCGAUCAUCACACCAGAGGACCAAGAAGAAGGGUUAAGGUCCAGGAACCCAUGGAAGCUGUGCAGUGUCACACGAGUGGAGGAGGUGAAGAUGGUGGUGCGCAUGCUUCCCAUAUGGGCUACCUCCAUCAUGUUCUGGACCACCUAUGCUCAAAUGGUCACCUUCUCUGUCGAGCAGGCGACCACGAUGCACCGCACCCUCUUCGGCUCCUUCUCCAUUCCCCCGGCGUCCCUCACUGUGUUCUUUGUGGGCACCAUCCUCAUUACCUUAGCGGUCUAUGACCGGCUCGUCAACCCUCUUUACCGCCGGUUCUCUGACUCUCGCCAACCUCCGCUAUCAAACCUCCAGCGAAUCGGCCUAGGCUUAUUCCUCUCGAUCAUUUCCAUGGCUUCUGCUGCCCUAAUAGAGGCCAAACGCCUCAACAUCGCCAAAGAUUUGCAUGAUGAACACGGGCCUUUGCCUAUGAGUGUGUUCUAUCUGGUACCCCAGUUUUUCCUGGUGGGCUCAGGAGAGGCCUUCAUAUACACUGGGCAGCUGGACUUCUUCAUAACCCAAUCGCCCGCAGGGAUGAAAACCAUGAGUACCGGAUUGUUCUUGACGACACUAUCACUAGGGUUUUUUGUGAGCAGCAUGUUGGUUUCCAUGGUUGAUAGGAUUACUGGGGGAUCAGGGAAGGGAGGGUGGUUAGCUGAUGAUAUCAACAAGGGGAGGUUGGAUUGUUUCUACUGGCUUCUCUCUGGUCUCAGCUUGGUGAAUUUUGCUGUCUAUUUGUGGUGUGCAGCCUGGUUCAAGCCCCGGCCUCCGCCACAAGACAUGGAAAUGGAGGUUGCAGACAAAGGAAAUUCCAAUGGCAUGGAGAGAUAGAAAGCUGCGUAGAACUUUGCUACUGCACCUUCAUUUGUGUAUACAGUGUGAUCUUUUCUAUUGGCUUAGCUUACUGAACUUUGUGGUGCACUUCUUGAAGGGGAGGGAGCUUUAAUGGUGUGGAGAGAUAGGAAGUUGAAAGAGGGCUACUUUUGCUGAAUGCUUCAAUCUUAUUAUUAGAAAUGUGGAGCGCAGAGGUAAUUUUUCGGGCUUCAAGGUAACUAGU